rnacentral:rRNA from 1 species
GAUGAACGCUGGCGGCGUGCCUAAUACAUGCAAGUCGAGCGAACGGACGAGAAGCUUGCUUCUCUGAUGUUAGCGGCGGACGGGUGAGUAACACGUGGAUAACCUACCUAUAAGACUGGGAUAACUUCGGGAAACCGGAGCUAAUACCGGAUAAUAUUUUGAACCGCAUGGUUCAAAAGUAAAAGACGGUCUUGCUGUCACUUAUAGAUGGAUCCGCGCUGCAUUAGCUAGUUGGUAAGGUAACGGCUUACCAAGGCAACGAUGCAUAGCCGACCUGAGAGGGGGAACGGCCACAAGGGAACUGGAACACGGGCCAGACCCCUAGGGGGGGCAGCAGUAGGGAAUCUUCCGCAAAGGGCGAAAGCCGAACGGGGCAACGCCGCGUGAGGUAAGAAGGUCUUCGGGUCGUAAAACUCUGUUAUUAGGGAAAAACAUUUGUGUAAGUAACUGUGCACAUUUUGACGGUACCAAAUGAGAAAGCCACGGCUAACUACGG